GAUGAACGCUGGCGGCGUGCCUAAUACAUGCAAGUCGAGCGAACAGACGAUGAUCUUGCUCCUCUGACGUUAGCGGCGGAUGGGUGAGUAACACGUGGAUAACCUACCUAUAAGACUGGGAUAACUUCGGGAAACCGUAGCUAAUACCGGAUAAUAUAUUGAACCGCAUGGUUCAAUAGUGAAAGACGGUUUUGCUGUCACUUAUAGAUGGAUCCGCGCCGCAUUAGCUAGUUGGUAAGGUAACGGCUUACCAAGGCAACGAUGCGUAACCGACCUGAGAGGGUGAUCGGCCACACUUGAUGUGUGACACGGUCCAGACUCCUACGGGAAGCAGCCGUAGGGAAUCUUCCGCGAUGGGCGAAAGCCUGACGGAGCAACGCCGCGUGAGUGAUGAAGGUCUUCGGAUCGUAAAACUCUGUUAUUAGUGAAGAACAAAUGUGUAAGUAACUAUGCACGUCUUGACGGUACCUAAUCAGAAAGCCACGGCUAACUACGUG
rnacentral:rRNA from 1 species